UGGCCCCUGGGGAGCCAGCCCCACCUCCAGGACUGGCCACCCUAAGCAGCAGCCCAGCACUGUGGGAAGGGACAGUGGCCCUGCCGCAGGAGGAGGACCUUGUAAAGACACGUUUCAGCCAGGGCUUUGCAAACUGGGAGCACUGUGUGGUCACAUGUGUCCAGUCACUAAGGGCUGAGACCCACAUGUGCAAGGCCCAGGGGCACAGCCACGCGCCCGAGGCAGAGGUGGGUGUCCUCUACUGUCCCCUGCCAGAGCCCCUCCUCACACUUCCUGUCUGGAUCAGAGCCCUGGUCUGAAGCCCCAGGCUGCUGAGCAGAUGAUCCCUGUAGGCCCCAGGCAGUCUCCUCCACCCCUCCCUUCCUCAGGGCCGUGGACCAGCUCCGAGUGCCUGCGGGUGACCCGAAACUCCCUGUAGCCAUGACAGUGGGCCCAGCUCUUGGGAACCCAGUCUGGCCACCACAGCGCAUUCCCAGACCGUCCGACAGCUAACAGCACUUGGAUGAGUCAGAUGACCCGAGUGGCUGCUGGUUCUCAGCUCCCGGUCAGGCACCGCAGACUGCGCAGGAGGCACCCAGAAGGCGUAGGGUCUCGGCCCCCCAGCACGACGGCCAUCUGCUGACCCCCCGCGGUGUCUGGUCUGAUUUGGGACCUUGCAGCGCUCCUCCUGCUGAGGCAGCUUUUCUUCUGUCUCCUGGUGACCACUGAGCUCCCCCUCCAGGCUGCACGGGAAUCUCCUUCCUACGCUGCGUCUCCGCACACGCGAAGGAACAUUCCCCGGAACCCGUAGGAGAGGCGCGGACCCUCCACCCUGAGCCCUCACAGCCCGUGCUAAGGCAGGAGCAGGAGACCGUUCCCAUCUGGGAAGGGUGACACCUGCCUGUCCCUGCUCAGGCCCUUCUGUUGGGGGACGGUGCCACCCCUGAUUUGGGAGGGGGGCGUAAUCUCAGAGACACUGGCCAGGAGAGUCUUGGCCCAGGACCUGUCACGUGGUCUGGAAGUCAGAUUUGACAGGGAGGAGGGCAUCAGAACCGUGUCUGGGGACCACUCAGUGGUGACGUGCGGGCGCUGCGCAUCUGAGACCUCACGUCAGCAACUCUUUGGCCCUUAGUCCCGAAUCCCAUCCACCAGCCAGGUGAGUCCAGGGACGCCUUGCUGCUGAGACUCAGCCCUAAGCGGCAGGUGCCUGUCUGGUGCCCUGUGUCCCCGCCCAGUGCCACACAGAGCAGCUGACGGCAUCAGCCGAGGCAGAGCCCCGGGCCAUCACCUACACCGCAGGCCCUGGCCUCGGAGGAGCACCGACCUCUUUGGUGCAUGGUCCUCAGCUCUGCAGAGACCAAAGCCAUCACAGCCGACUGCCUGCCCCGGGAGGCACAGCCUCCUGAGACUCUCCGCCCCAGCUGCAGGGGCCUCCAAAGCCCACCCUGGGCUGGGCUCAAGGGUCCCGUCCCCACCUCCCCUCGGUCACAGCCUCGGGCAGUCGGGCUGGAGCCUCUUCCCCCAGGAUGCGGCUGCACCGGCCCCGCCCCCGCCCUCACUCCUGCCUCGUUCCCUGCCCUCCCGGCGUCCUCUGCCCUUGGCAUCUGGGCUGCCCAGGGGUCUCCUCAGAACUGCCCCCUGCCCCAGCCCUGCGUCCCGACAGCUGGCCCCACCCUGACCGUCUCCCCCAGCUGGCUCUCUGACCACGGCUGCAGGGCUCUGCUGGCCAAGCAACUCUGUGUCCUGGGUGCUCAGGCCCCUGCCUGUUAGAAACCCCUUCUCUGUUCCCACCCUGGGACCUGGGAUCUGGGAGGUGGGCUGUUGGAAGUGAUCAUGAAGCAAAUGUUCCAUUUGAUCCAAGAGUUGGAGCUGACAUCUUGCUGCGGGAGCCUAGAAGCAUCUGGUGUGAAGGACAUGCAGUCCUCUCCUGGCCCAGAAUCAUGAUGGUGACCCACUAUGAGGAGAUGCAAGUGUACAGAUGAGCAAGACAGGAGCAGUUCUCAUGGCUGAAUUUCAAAUAAAAUGAAAAGAAAAGAGCUUUUGAGGACACUCAAGCCCUUCAGUGUGCCUCCGCCGCUGGCCGUGACAGAGCCUGACUC